AACGAACGCUGGCGGCAGGCUUAACACAUGCAAGUCGAGCGCCCCGCAAGGGGAGCGGCAGACGGGUGAGUAAUACUUAGGAAUCUGCCUAUUAAUGGGGGACAACAUCUCGAAAGGGAUGCUAAUACCGCAUACGCCCUACGGGGGAAAGCAGGGGAUCGCUUGUGACCUUGCGUUAACAGAUGAGCCUAAGUCGGAUUAGCUAGUUGGUGGGGUAAAGGCCUACCAAGGCGACGAUCUGUAGCGGGUCUGAGAGGAUGAUCCGCCACACUGGGACUGAGACACGGCCCAGACUCCUACGGGAGGCAGCAGUGGGGAAUAUUGGACAAUGGGGGGAACCCUGAUCCAGCCAUGCCGCGUGUGUGAAGAAGGCCUUAUGGUUGUAAAGCACUUUAAGCGAGGAGGAGGCUCUUUUGGUUAAUACCCAAGAUGAGUGGACGUUACUCGCAGAAUAAGCACCGGCUAACUCUGUGCCAGCAGCCGCGGUAAUAC
rnacentral:rRNA from 1 species